GGGUAUAACGCAGUCAGGUCUCCUAACAGUCCCGCUCUGCCCCCUCCCUUCUGAGGACUCCGUCCUCUCCCUUAGGAAGCUGACUUGACUAACAGCACAGGCGAGGCCCGUUCCAGGCGUGCCAAGACGACCCAAGGAGGGAGGGGAAACUCCCAGGCAGCAGUGGCACACCUUUGCCUUUGCUGUCCUCCCAGCCUGGAGCACCAGCCCCCUCUGCUGUCCACAUCCAAGCUUUCUACAAGAUCCCGUCCUCCAGGAGACCUCUGGCUGCCUCGCCUUCUCAGACUCGGGCCAUCUUGACGCUGUCUCCUGCAGUAGCAUCUGGAACCAGUUGUCUGGGUUCAAAUCCCAGCUUCAACCCUUACAAGCUGAGCCAAGUGACUUAAUUUCCUGUGCUUCAGAGGAUCCUGUCUUUCUUGCAAAACAGAAAAACUGGAUUCAUCAAGUGAAUCUUUGGCCAGCAACUGUUCGAGAGCAAUGUUAACAUCACAUGUAGGAAUGCUAGGAUUUGAGAUUUUCAGCAAUUGAGAAUGA